CUCCACUUAAGGACAUCUUGGAGGCUGUCCAUGAAGCACUUCCUGGGAGUAAAUUUAACAGCCUACUAUUGAAUAGGUAUAAAGGAGGCAAUGACAAUGUUGGUUGGCAUGCUGAUGAUGAGAAGCUUUAUGGUCCAACUCCAGAAAUUGCGUCUGUUUCCUUUGGAUGUGAACGAGAUUUCUUGUUGAAAAAGAGACCCAAUAAAUCAUCCCAACCCCAAGGUACCAUGAAGUGUUCUCAUCAUCUUCUUUCCUUUUGUUAGUUCUCAUGUUAAAGAGGGUC
rnacentral:misc_RNA from 1 species